UACUGAUCAAUUUCCAGCAUAGGCGUUCAUUUGUAGAUUAGACAGUCAUUAUUUAAAAUCUGAGCAUGGCGGGCAAUGGGUCAAAGGUAGAUAAAGAAAUUCCAAACGUCAUGGAAUAUGCAAGUCAACUAGACACGGAUGCCCAAAAUUGGAGUCAGAAUUUGGUGGAAAGAUUCAUAACUUCCUUAAGUAAACAGACCACAGCAAGAAAAUCUAGUUUUUUAGUUGCGGAACAAAUUCUCUCCCAAUUGAUUACUCCUGAUCUAAAGGAAUUCGACUUGAGCCUGAUUGUCAACUUGUAUCCUGAGAAGCCUCAAUUUGCAUUUGCAAUUAAGGCACUGCAGUUGGUCUCGUCCAGAGCUAAAAUAUGCAAGCUCAAAAUUAAAAUACUAGAAUCAGCAGGAGCAGUUAAUUAUAUUAUUCCGCAAAUGAAUGUUGAGAUGAGAGCUGGAAUUCGCGGGUUGGAGAGUUUGCGACAUCUUGACGUCGAUCGGUUUUAUUUCACAAUAGAUGAUUUGAUGAAAUUGUGCUGUGAAAUUUCCUCGCUGAGGGACUUAACAGUAAAAAUCGCUGCUCAACCCAUCCAGACAUUAUUUGAUGAUCCCGAUCUGUUAAAAAGCUUUAAAAAUAGCUUCGGAAAAUUGGCAGUGUUUCGUUUCUCAUCUUUGAGCGAAGAAGAUCACAGUAAAGAGUUUGAGGAGGAAUUGACUUGCGUUUGCGUUCGACACCUGCCAAAUCUGCAGUUUGUGGGCAAUUUCAGCCUUUUUGCUGAUAUGACAAGGCCUUGCAUGGAACAGGAAGAUCAGUCCAAACUUCAGCACUUGUCUUUACGUUUAAAGCGAUCUGAAACUCAAGUUGUCGCAUCUUUUGAUAAGUUCCCUGAUGUCCAUACU